rnacentral:rRNA from 1 species
AGUGAACGCUGGCGGCAGGCCUAACACAUGCAAGUCGAACGGCAGCACAGCAGUAGCAAUACUGUGGGUGGCGAGUGGCGGACGGGUGAGGAAUACAUCGGAAUCUGCCUAGUCGUGGGGGAUAACGUAGGGAAACUUACGCUAAUACCGCAUACGACCUACGGGUGAAAGCGGGGGAUCGCAAGACCUCGCGCGAUUAGAUGAGCCGAUGUCCGAUUAGCUAGUUGGCGGGGUAAUGGCCCACCAAGGCGACGAUCGGGUAGCUGGUCUGAGAGGAUGAUCAGCCACACUGGAACUGAGACACGGUCCAGACUCCUACGGGAGGCAGCAGUGGGGAAUAUUGGACAAUGGGCGAAAGCCUGAUCCAGCCAUUCCGCGUGAGUGAAGAAGGCC